AUACGGAGGGUGCAAGCGUUACUCGGAAUCACUGGGCGUAAAGCGCGCGCAGGCGGUCUUUUAAGUUGGAUGUGAAAGCCUACGGCUCAACCGUAGAACUGCAUCCAAAACUAUUAGACUAGAGUGUGGGAGAGGAAGAUGGAAUUAGUUGUGUAGGGGUAAAAUCCGUAGAGAUAACUAGGAAUACCAAAAGCGAAGGCAAUCUUCUGGAACACUACUGACGCUGAGGCGCGAAGGCGUGGGGAGCAAACAGGAUUAGAAACCCUAGUAGUCC
rnacentral:rRNA from 1 species